UACGUAGGUGGCGAGCGUUGUCCGGAUUUACUGGGCGUAAAGGGCGCGUAGGCGGUCAGCCCAAGUCGGUUGUGAAAUCUCCGGGCUUAACCCGGAAAGGUCAACUGAUACUGUGCGACUAGAGUGCGGAAGGGGCAACUGGAAUUCUCGGUGUAGCGGUGAAAUGCGUAGAUAUCGAGAGGAACACCUGCGGCGAAGGCGGGUUGCUGGGCCGACACUGACGCUGAUGCGCGAAAGCCAGGGGAGCGAACGGG
rnacentral:rRNA from 1 species